CUUAUUUCAGACUCGGAAUGCUAUUGAAAGACUCUAGAGGCAGAAAACACAAACCUAUAUCACAAGCUUGGCCUUCACUGGAGAUUGUCAAGACAAAGAUGUGAUAAUUCCUCACUUAUGGAAUAUGUUCUGGUAAUAGAAGUCAUCCCAAAAAAGGAUAUUCUUCGGCCCGACUGACGUAGCAGUUUGGCUUUGUCCACACGUCUUAGCAUAGCGGUCAAAGGGAGAGUCAAGACAGCGACCAACUGCCCAAUGCUGAGAGUGACAGAGUUCCUCUAGUCACCGUCUCAUCCUCAAAGAGUUACAGGUUUUCACAGUGAUUGGCGGGGCACACAACGUGCUUUAGCAUUUCUCUCCAAUUUUUUCACAUUGACUUGUUUCCUUUUGUGAUUCUUAAGGUAUGAGUAAUAUGGUAUACAAGGAAAUAUUACAUUUAUGAUGUACAUGAUAGAGCACUUUGUAAAUAGAUAGGUUACAAAGGCACACACUCUAUUGUAUUUUUCUGCUUAGAAGUGGUUGCUUGUGUCAGAGUUUUCUGAAUGAUUAGCUGUUGUUUAAACCUUUUUUUUUUUUUUUUUUUCUAAGUAAAGUAUAUUCGGUUAAAUGAAAUUCGAGAAUGCUCCAUCAGCAAAGGACUCAACAGAAGACACUGACACAGAACACAUGAGAUACUUAGGAGUUCAGCCUGAUAUUACUUUAUAUAUAUUUAUGAGGAGUCAUUGUAAGGUGCUGUUAUCAUACAAUAUAUGAUUAUCAUGUGUGGUUUGUUUUCAGCCACAUAAAUUACAGAUAACACGGGUGGACCUAUGGUCGGUCAGUAUAUCACAGUUUAAUAUUUGGGUUCAAAGUAAAAGGGCUUCAUAUUUUUAGACAACAGUUUGUAUGUAAUAUUUUGAUGUUUUGCUGAUAUGCCAUGCAAGAAACCCAUGUAAUCAUAUACUAAUUUUAGUAUUCUUUAUUAUUGAUUUUACUGUAUGUGUGGAGGAGUAAUGCUCAAAUUCAUAUAUGGUUUUGAUCAUGCAUUUCUUUGAAAUGAAUGUAGGCCCAAUGGAGAAGUGAUAAUGAAUAGAUUAUUGGAUUAGAAGUUUCUUUUGAUAUUAAAUUCAGGGCAAUGUCUUGUAGCUCAGAAUGCAAAGAUUGUAUAUCCAAAAGCAAGUAUGAAGCUUCCUUAUGCUCACCUUUUGGCACUAAAUAAUUAAAGUAUUUUUGAAAGUAUUCUUCCUUCAUUGUUUUGCAAAGUCCUGUGAGAGAUUCUGGAGGGAAGGAUGUUAUCACAGGCUUUGCUUUUUGAUGAGGAGAAAGACACAGAAACUAUUUACUUAGUUUUAAGAUUUUAUAUCACAACCAUUAUAAGUGCAAUUGAAUAAUGCCUUUUGCAUUUGUUUUGCGUAAAGUCAGAUAUGUAGAUGCUAAGACUUCAUAAGAUAGAAAGUAAUUGUAUGUACACAUAAAUUGUUAUAUAUUUGUUUCAAUUAGAUAACCUGUAUACAAUGAGGAGAGUCAUUGUACACAGAUGUUUAUAAAUAGUUAAAAAGAAGAAAAAAAUGUUGUUUAAAAGGAUUGCAAAUACAGUAUAUACUAGUAUUUUAUAUUACAAAAACAUAUAAUACAGGACAUUAUGUGAUCAAUAUUCAAAGUCACAGCUAUUAUGUGGUUACCAUUUUGUAUGUGUAUUUGCCAUCACAACAGUUAAAUGAUCCAUGCCUUCCAUGUACACUGAUAUAUUAUUCACAGUGCUUACAAUGAAAAUGUUUUCCAUUGUGGUGAAGGACAGAUGUGUUGCAAUCCUGUUAUAUAUGAUUUUUUUUCCAACAUUUUGUAAGAAAUAUUGUUUAAACUUUAUAAAAAUAUAAAAAUGAAAUAGUUCCAA